CCUUUACUAUAGCUUCGCUUGGCGUUAGCGACCGUAUGUGUAGGAUAGGUGGGAGGCUAUGAAACCGGGGCGCCAGCUCUGGUGGAGCCAUCCUUGAAAUACCACCCUUACUGUCGUUGACGUCUAACCGAGGGCUGUUAUCCGGUCCCGGGACAUGGCGUGGUGGGUAGUUUGACUGGGGCGGUCGCCUCCUAAAGUGUAACGGAGGCGCGCGAUGGUGGGCUCAGACCGGUCGGAAAUCGGUCGUCGAGUGCAAUGGCAUAAGCCCGCCUGACUGCGAGACUGACAAGUCGAGCAGAGACGAAAGUCGGCCAUAGUGAUCCGGUGGUCCCGCGUGGAAGGGCCAUCGCUCAACGGAUAAAAGGUA
rnacentral:rRNA from 1 species